CUUCCCUCUCUCUCUCCUCUUCAUCUCCCUCUCCUACUAUUCUGCCUCAUCAAGAAUCAGUGUCCUUCACUUUGCUUAGGCAGAGUUCUGAGCUGUGGCUUCCCCAGGACCAUCUACCAACCCAUUAGCUGUGAAGUCUCUUAGCCCUGUGAAUCCUAGAAUCAGAGGAGACCUGGUGAACUGGGCCGUGUGAUACUGAACUCACGAAGUCAGCUCUAGUUUCAGUUGACUCCUAGGUAUAAAAUGACCUUUGCUUUACUUUCCUGGGAGGAAUGGGAAGUUAGACUAAAGAAAGGCAUAAGGACCUGGUCUUUCUAAUAGGUAGUGUAGCCAGGGGCCUGAGAGGGUGGGCACUAUUUACAUUUAAAUUAAGAUUUAAAUAAGGUUUGGUCUCAGCUAGUGACUAGAUACUUGGGGCCUGUUGGAUUUCUGUAGCACUUUAUACUGGACAGAAUAGGAGCUGGUUCGGUUUAGAUGCAUCGUUUCUUAAUUAAAUCACUUUCAUGGAUUAAGGAGGCACCUGGACAAUCAAACCAGAACCUUUCAAUCAGGACCUCUCCCUCAACCCCACCCACCCACCCAAACUCUGGUGGGUGCCACCAGCGUGUUCCUCUGUUUACAAUAAAGGAAGGAAGCUGAAUCAGGCAGUGAAAGGGUCUCUGCCUGGUGGAGUCUCCAUGGACAGACUGGGACUUGGGGACCCAGAAAGCCUGAUCUCAGAGGACUCUGCGUUGCAGGUGUUAAACCUGAUUAGCCAAGCUCACUCCGGUUAAUUGCCUGAAGUGGACAGGACAGUUUCCACUGCUCAGCACAAACCUUAGGGUGGCGAGUCAGCCAGUUCCGCCCUAGUGGCCUCAGCAGGCUGCCCUUUGAGAUGGAGCCUGUCCUCCGACUUGGUUUUGUAGGAGAGUCCUUUGGACAACUGGUCCAAACCAAAUGCGGGGGGCCCCAGCUUGCCACUUUGAAAGAAUGAGCCCCAAGAAAUUAGAAUAUUCCCAGGAAUCUCCUGCUUGGAAAAAAAAGUCUGAAAGCUUGGGGGCAGCCAGAGAAGAAACUUAGCACCAGGAAAAAACCAGUUGUCAGAUGACCUUGUCGCAGAGACUUGGAGCCGAACUCGUCUAGAGGACGCUGAAUGGAAAAGCGCCUUGCUCCUGUGUGCCCGGAACAGAAUCCAUACCGUGCCUGCUCUGCUCUGACCUUGCCUUCAUUUUGCUCACUGGGAAAGGAGACCCUGUUUUCAGGAUCUGCUUCUUUUCUGACAGUAUUGGUCACCGUGAAGAAGCCCAAGGCCACUUCUGACUGAGCUAGAGAUUUCAAGGCAAGCUUCAGAGUGGGGGGAAAAAGAGUGAUGGAAAGAAAGGAUAGGAAGGGACAGGAGGACGAAGAAUAUGAGAGAUGGGAAUUGGAAUAGACAAAUAAAAUAAACAAAACAAAAGACAGAAGAUGGGGAAGAAAUCAGAUGGUGAGAAAGGAAAGGACAAUAGGUUUGGGAUGAGACAUUUACACUCUUACCAGGGAUGUGUCCCCCAAGUGUCACCUUCUAGAGCCUUCCUUUGCUAUCACUCACAUAUCAACAAUAUCAGCAGCAUCCCCUGAACCUUGUUUAGAAAUAUCACAUCCCUGGCCAAAGUCCAGAUGUCUUGAGUCACCAGGUAACAGAAGCAGGCUGGUGACUGGCGACUGGUGACUGGGAGCCAUGCAUGCUCAUGUGUAAGAGUCCUUACUGUUUGGUUUUGAGAGCAACUCACUCCAGUUUCUCUCAGGAUUGGUCCAGUAGUUUCGGGCUAUUUCUAUUUGUAGAGGAUGCUACAAAAACCAUUCUCUCCUGCCUCACCUGGUCUUUUCUCCUGUGAUCCUGUGCUCUGGAGGACAUACAAUGCUGUGUGCUAAUCCACAGAGCCCUUCUCUGAACAAGGGCCUGAGUCUGUGCCCACAUGCACACACAAGUGCGUGCUCACACACACAUGCACAUCUGUACAGCUCUAUAUCCCACUUUCCUCGUGCAUCCCCAGUUAGCACAUCAUGACCAACAAGAGACUAAGCAUCAUUAAGGAGUUUAUUUUCAUCUUCUAAAAUCUUCUAAAACACUUUUUCUUUUUGCCAGAUGGUGGUGCAGGGCUUUAAUCCCAGCACUCAGGAGGCAAAGGCAGGUGGCUCUCUAUGUAUUUGAGGCCCACCUGGACUACAGAGCUAGUUCCAGGGCAGCUAGGGCUACACAGAGAAAUCCUAACUCAAAAAACCAAUAAAUAUAUAAACAAAUAAAUAAACCAUACAUACAUACAUACAUACAUAGAACACAUUUUUCCCACGAGUUCCAACAGCAUAAAAGUUUAUGAGCUGCACAGCCAUACAAAUCAACAGUUAUAUUUUCAUCCCUUUUCCUUCAUUCUGUGGUCUUCACUUGGAGCGCCCAGGAAACCCAGGUCGCUUUAAGCAGAGCCUGGCCAUACACACCCACCAUGUUCUGGCUGGUUCCUACAGGGUGAUCACCAUUUAAAGUCAAAAUCCUGGCAGUCCAUCGAGUCACAUUUUGAAUUAAAGGGGUCUCGCUUAUCCAAAUGGAAGAAACUCAAAAGUCUAAAUGCCCUCCUUUGUUUUUAGCACGGGCUACGGUUGUCCAAGGGUUUGUUGUACUGGGCACUGGUAAAUAUUUAUCACGGUCAAAUGAACAAUCAUUUGCAGACAGAUACCAGUUUACGAUGCCGCUUCUUGGUCCGUCCUAAUUGUGCCUCUGCCUUGCCGUUUUAUGUUUUAUCGGAAUAUGCAGGCGUGUACUUUAUGAGGUUGGGUAAUGAAGAGCGAGGGACCCCAAUGAGCAUAUUUGCUAAGAGUAAUGGUUAUCUACAAUUCAGCCAUCCCGGGUUAGCAUCUCUCAUAUUACACAAUACCAGGCGAGCCCUUCAUAGCUCAAUUAGACCUUACCCACUUCAUUUUUAGGCAUUAUGUUAUUCUAAAUUAACACUAUAUUUCAUAUUCUCCAGGUCUGACGAUUAACCAGAUUUUGGAACCUUCAGGGUUUAUUAUUUAGUAAUCCCCGAAGCUCUCAAGCAGGCAUUUUUUAAAUUCCUGCGUUAGAAGAGAUUAAAAAUUAGCCGGAAUAGCCCGUUAAAUAGCCGGCUCUCUGUCCUUUGCUAAUUAUGCCUGGGGAAUGAAAAAAAGAAAACGCAAGCGAGGUCAGAUGGGGAUGGGCCAACAAACUUGCCACCUGCUCAUUGUCAGCUGAAAUUGGGGUUAUUUAAAUUAGGAAAUAAUUGUAAAAUCUCCAUAGAGUGCCACAGAGAGUACAAAUCAAGUACACAGCCCAGAGCGGGAGCUGUUCCCUUUCCCCUUUAUAUUUAAGUUUUAAAUAUGAAGGUAAGAUAAAAUGUAAAAUAUCAAAUGGAAAAUAGAAUUAUAAAGUUAAAAGUGGCCAUCCAUGCAAAUGUUUUUCAAGAUAGCGGCUAAAUUAGCCCUAGAGAGCAUACUUUAAACGUUAAAAAAAGGCAGUGUAUCAUUACUGUGUGUGUGUGUGUGUGUGUGUGUGUGUGUGUGUGUGUGUGUGUGUGUGUACUCAUGUCCGUGCUGAGUUCUGAGGAUCACAUCUGAGUUAGGCUCACAUAGCCUGGAAUUUACCCAAU
rnacentral:sRNA from 1 species